AACGCGAAGAACCUUACCUGCCCUUGACAUCCCGCGAACCUGGGAGAGAUCCUUGGGUGCCGAAAGGAGCGCGGAGACAGGUGCUGCAUGGCUGUCGUCAGCUCGUGUUGUGAGAUGUUGGGUUAAGUCCCGUAACGAGCGCAACCCUUGCCCCUAGUUGCCAGCAUUCAGUUGGGGACUCUAGGGGGACUGCCGGUGAGGAACCGGAGGAAGGCGGGGACGACGUCAAGUCAUCAUGGCCUUUAUGGGCAGGGCCACACACGUGCUACAAUGGGGCGUACAGAGGGUCGCGAACCCGCGAGGGGUAGCCAAUCCCGCAAAGCGCCUCGUAGUCCGGAUUGGAGUCUGCAACCCGACUCCAUGAAGCUGGAAUCGCUAGUAAUCGCGGAUCAGCACGCCGCGGUGAAUACGUUCCCGGGCCUUGUACACACCGCUAGUC
rnacentral:rRNA from 1 species